UAGCCUACGGGAGGCAGCAGUGAGGAAUAUUGGUCAAUGGCCGAGAGGCUGAACCAGCCAAGUCGCGUGAGGGAUGACGGCCCUACGGGUUGUAAACCUCUUUUGUCGGGGAGCAAGACCCGCCUCGUGCAGACGGAGCGAGAGUACCCGAAGAAAAAGCAUCGGCUAACUCCGUGCCAGCAGCCGCGGUAAUACGGAGGAUGCGAGCGUUAUCCGGAUUUAUUGGGCGUAAAGCGAGCGCAGGCGGUUGCUUAGGUCUGAUGUGAAAGCCUUCGGCUUAACCGAGGAAGUG
rnacentral:rRNA from 1 species